UGGGGAAUUUUGGACAAUGGGCGCAAGCCUGAUCCAGCCAUGCCGCGUGCGGGAAGAAGGCCUUCGGGUUGUAAACCGCUUUUGUCAGGGAAGAAACGCUCUGGGCUAAUACCCUGGGGUAAUGACGGUACCUGAAGAAUAAGCACCGGCUAACUUCGUGCCAGCAGCCGCGGUAAUACGUAGGGACCAAGCGUUGUUCGGAUUUACUGGGCGUAAAGGGCGCGUAGGCGGCAAUUCAAGUCAUCUGUGAAAUCUCCGGGCUUAACUCGGAACGGUCAGAUGAUACUGCUUUGCUAGAGUGCAGAAGGGGCAAUCGGAAUUCUUGGUGUAGCGGUGAAAUGCGUAGAUAUCAAGAGGAACACCUGAGGUGAAGACGGUUGCUGGGCUGACACUGACGCUGAGGCGCGAAAGCCAGGGGAGCAAACGGGAUUAGAUACCCUUGUAGUCCCUGAGCGGGCUGGCAAGGCGCAU
rnacentral:rRNA from 1 species